UACGUAGGUGGCAAGCGUUGUCCGGAAUUAUUGGGCGUAAAGCGCGCGCAGGCGGUCCUUUAAGUCUGAUGUGAAAGCCCACGGCUCAACCGUGGAGGGUCAUUGGAAACUGGGGGACUUGAGUGCAGAAGAGGAAAGCGGAAUUCCACGUGUAGCGGUGAAAUGCGUAGAGAUGUGGAGGAACACCAGUGGCGAAGGCGCUUUCUGGUCUGUAACUGACGCUGAGACGCGAAAGCGUGGGGAGCAAACAGG
rnacentral:rRNA from 1 species